CACUUGGACAUGGUUGGUUCGUCUAUCCUAAGAGAUGGGGAAUCCUUGUAUCAAGGGUGCACUCUGCAUGAACAUCAAAAGAGAAUUGGGUUAAUAUUCCUAAGCCAGGACAUGGUGGUGGACAACAAUGUUAGGAAAUAUGGAGAUGUCAUCGGGGGCCUGGGAAGAGUUAUCUUUUGUUUUUAACAACUAUCCUACCCUGAAAUUGGUUCAACCAGAGAUAGGGUCCAACAUGUGAAAGAUCACAACAUGUAUUGCGGUGUUUGGUGCCCCCUUGGCGACCAUUGUAAAUAUGGUGAACCGAGUCCCAUCCAUGCUCGAUCGUACU
rnacentral:ncRNA from 1 species